AGCCGCCGCGGGAAAACGAAGGGUGCAAGCGUCAAUCGGAAUUACUGGGCGUAAAGCGUGCGUAGGUGGUGGUUUAAGUCCGUUGUGAAAGCCCUGGGCUCAACCUGGGAAUCGCAGUGGAUACUGGGUCACUAGAGUGUGGUAGAGGAUAGUGGAAUUUCCGGUGUAGCAGUGAAAUGCGUAGAGAUCGGAAGGAACAUCUGUGGCGAAGGCGACUAUCUGGGCCAACACUGACACUGAGGCACGAAAGCGUGGGGAGCAAACAGGAUUAGAUACCCCCGUAGUCCCUGUCUCUUAUACA
rnacentral:rRNA from 1 species